AAUUCUGUAUAGUUUCCAACUUGAUAUUCCUGAGGUAUAAUGACUAUAACAUGCUAAUAAGCACAGGAUCAAAGAUGCUAUUACUGAACUGGGGAAAACGAAU